UUCGUAGGUGGUGCGGCAAGUUGGAAGUGAAAUCUCUGGGCUUAACCCAGAGGCUGCUUUCAAAACUGCCGCGCUCGAGUGCGAGAGAGGUCAGUGGAAUUGCAGGUGUAGCGGUGAAAUGCGUAGAUAUCUGCAGGAACACCCGUGGCGAAGGCGGCUGACUGGAUCGCAACUGACACUGAGGAACGAAAGCUAGGGGAGCAAACAGGAUUAGAUACCCUGGUAGUCCUAGCCCUAAACCAUCAGAACUUGGGGUGGCCCGCGUAGGCGGGUCGUCCCGUAGCUAACGCGUUAAGUUCUGCGCCUGGGGAGUACGGUCGCAAGACUGAA
rnacentral:rRNA from 1 species